rnacentral:rRNA from 1 species
GCCCCUGAAUAAAUCAGAGGUGAGACCUGCCCAGUGAUUUCUAUUUUAAAAUAAUAAAAAUAUUUAAAUGAAAUUAAAAGGACGCGGUAACCUUGACUGUGAUAAUGUAGCAUAAUCACUCGCCAUUUAAUUGAUGGAUAGUAUGAAUGGUUAAACGAAUAUUACACUAUCUAAAAAGUAAAUCUCAUGAAAAUGAAAUAAUAGUAAAGAUGCUAUUUAAAAUUGUAAGACGAAAAGACCCUAUAGAGCUUAACUAUAAUCUUUUUUAAAAUUAUAAAAAUAUUUUUAUAAUUAAAAAGAGUGGUAGUUUAGUUGGGGCGACUAUUUUCUAAAAAUAACGAAAACAAGCAAAAUUAAUGAAAUAAUUUAUUGUAUAAUAAACAAAUUUAACAAUUACUAAAGUAGGCCAUAAUGACCCGUUAAUUUUAAAUAAUAAAAAUAACGAUUAAUGAAUAAAAGCUACCUUAGGGAUAACAGGAUAAUUUUAUUUUAGAGUUCCUAUCGAAAAUAAAGUUUGUCACCUCUAUGUUGAAUUAAGAUAUCCUAAUGACGCAGAAGUUAUUGAGGGUAGGUCUGUUCGACCUUUAAAAUCUUA